rnacentral:sRNA from 1 species
GUAGAUGGAACAAAAGCUAAGAACGUGGCAUCGUGCCACAACGCUUUUGUGACCUACAUCCUGUAGG